rnacentral:rRNA from 1 species
UACGUAGGGGGCAAGCGUUGUCCGGAUUCAUUGGGCGUAAAGAGCGUGUAGGCGGCCAGGUAGGUCGGUUGUGAAAACUGGAGGCUCAACCUUCAGAGGUCGACCGAAACCAUCUGGCUAGAGUCCGGGAGAGGAGAGUGGAAUUCCUGGUGUAGCGGUGAAAUGCGCAGAUAUCAGGAAGAACACCCGUGGCGAAAGCGGCUCUCUGGAACGGUACUGACACUGAGGAGCGAAAGCGUGGGUAGCAAACAGG